rnacentral:misc_RNA from 1 species
GAUGAAGAACGUAGCGAAAUGCGAUAAGUAAUGUGAAUUGCAGAAUUCAGUGAAUCAUCGAAUCUUUGAACGCACAUUGUGCCCUUUGGUAUUCCGAAGGGCAUGCCUGUUCGAGCGUCAUUUCACCACUCAAGCCUGGCUUGGUAUUGGGCGCCGCGGUCGAUCCGCGCGCCUCAAAGUCUCCGGCUGAGCUGUCCGUCUCUAAGCGUUGUGAUUUCAUUAAUCGCUUCGGAGUGCGGGCGGCCGCGGCCGUUAAAUCUUUCACAAGGUUGACCUCGGAUCAGGUAGGGAUACCCGCUGAACUUAAGCAUAUCAAUAAGCGGAGGA